rnacentral:rRNA from 1 species
UACGAAGGGGGCUAGCGUUGCUCGGAAUCACUGGGCGUAAAGCGCACGUAGGCGGCUUUUUAAGUCAGGGGUGAAAUCCUGGAGCUCAACUCCAGAACUGCCUUUGAUACUGAGAAGCUUGAGUCCGGGAGAGGUGAGUGGAACUGCGAGUGUAGAGGUGAAAUUCGUAGAUAUUUGCAAGAACACCAGUGGCGAAGGCGGCUCACUGGCCCGUAACUGACGCUGAGGCACGAAAGCGUGGGGAGCAAACAGG